CGGCAACAGCUCAAAUUUGAAACCUGGCGCAAGCCCGGAUUGUAAUUUGCAGAGGAUGCUUCUAGGCAGCGGCCGUUCUAAGUUCCUUGGAACAGGACGUCAUAGAGGGUGAGAAUCCCGUAUGUGACCGGCCCGCACCUUCUACGUAGCUCCUUCGAC
rnacentral:rRNA from 1 species